GGUGUAAGCACAGUAAUGUGUUCAGCCGAGCGGUACUAAUCGCCCGUGAGGCUUGGCCUC
rnacentral:rRNA from 1 species